rnacentral:lncRNA from 1 species
GAGCACAAGGAAGACAUUAAGUAAACAGCAUGUAAAUGCAUGAGAUUUAGGAAGAACCUUGCUUUUAACAUCCGAGUUCUUUAAAAAAAAAAAAAAAUACAGCAGGAUGUCACAUUGGCCAUCACAAUAUUAAGUGAAAAAUCCAUUCCAAGCUGCAAGCAUAAUAUUGAAAACAAUGUCCACUAUCUACAAAGAAAGUCUUCCAUUAAUUGAAAGUG